AUCACAAGUGUUAUGAACCUAGAAGUGCUAUGGCAACCAGCAGCGCUUGUAGAAGCAGCAGCCGGUUGCUCCUUCAAAACUUGCCGAAACACGUGUUACCUCUAACAUAAGUACAGUCGUUGGAAGAUGAAGACGGGGUUUUUGGAUUAAACCACGGGUACGGUGAUCGCUCAGAGGAGGGUAAAGAGAGCCAGGAGAGGAGCCAUGCUGCCCCAGCUUGGAUUUAAUUCUGCUCCUAGAGUCUGGACAAAAUGGGACUCAUACUGACCAGAUAACGCUAAAUUGUUACGGGCCAAACAUUACGCUGAUCGUGCGGCCUCAUGGGAAAUCUGCCUACCAACAAGUGGCAGCAAGAGAGAAGGACACACCACAAGAAGCACCUGGAUUAUUCCCUGCAAACGCUGAUCCUGGUGAUGGCCUGCCUUGUUUGAUGUCUCGCUGUCCCUGUCCAAGGUGAAGAAGAGCGCUGCAGGCUAGUGACAUCGGACAGAAGUUUUAUUAGGUCAGAGGUCAUCAUCCGAUGUCUCAUUGACCGUCCGGGAAAAGAUGCAAGUGCCUUGAUGAAGGACUUUGAGAUGGCUACACAACAGAAGCUGACGAUGGGAGUUCUUUUUUGUGAGGGGGACAUACAAAAAAUGACCAUGACUCCUAGUCCAAAUACAGUUCAUGAUUUAAUAAACUGGUUGAAGAAAUCAGUUGAACCUGAAUACAACUUCACUUUACAGUAAAAUGGGGAAUUACAGAACAAAAAUGCGCCAGCUGGGACGGCCUGAUGUAACAGUUAAUGGAGGUAAACGUGGAAUAAACAAUGCUGAUGGUGAGCCUUCUCGCAAAAACAUAAAGAAGCCAAGAAAAGGGGAGAUCAAUUACCUUCCAGAAUUACCAGAGGGAAUGGAUGUCGCAAGGCUUGAAGCUGUUCGAGAGGCCGUGGUCAAUGAAAUGCAGAGGAAAAACCCAAAUUAUUAGACAAAACAUGGACAUCACAUUUGCCCUUAGAAGGGAGGAGGUUGUAAAGCAUGAGCCUGACAUUAGCCAGAUGGUCCAACGCUGGCCAGCGCUUUUCACUGAAAGCCAGGUUUGUGAAAGUGUCCUUUAAAUAUCUUGUCUUUUUUUGUGUUACAUACAUAACUGGACAACAUGUGCGGAGAUGUUUAUUAAUGUUAUAAGUAACUCUGCCUGAAUAUCGAAAUUGAAGUUAUUUCAUAUUUUUCAGGUCGGAUAGGCAAGCAGUUAGCUGACCUGGUACAACAGACAACAUCUCUUUGCAGAGCACUGAGCCAACAGCCAUUAGAUGUCUUGUCCUGAAAGGACUUCCAGUCAUUCUUGGGGAUGAUGCGUCUACGUUCUUUAAGAGCAGUUUGAAUAUUAAUGACAUGUGGACAUUCCCGUGGGAAUCCUCUGCAAUGAGGACACCAGCACUGCAAGCCCAGCAAGCCCAGCAUCGCAACAACUAAACCCCUCAAGAGUGGGGAUCAUCCUAGAGGGCAGCCUUGUAAUGGAAGCACUCACCAACCUACCUCAGGCAAUGUGCCUCUUGUUUGGCUUUACCUACGCACUCCACCUGCAGUACCCCAAGUGCUUAAAAACACAUUUGCUUUUAUUCAGCAGGUAAUGCUAAAUUUGGGUCGAAGUGAGCUACCUCCCAAGGUUCAAAAGCUGAAGAAUGAUCUUGCGGUGUAAGACACAUUUAUGCUCAUGACACAAUUCUUCGUGUCUGUGUUUGGAUUGUUGCACAAAUACAUUGCACUCAAUGGAGCAAAUAUUCUUGCAGUUGCUCAUUUUGUAUGUGAUACUUCUUGUACUGCAUGUGUCCAGUGUUGUUCAUUUUACUGAAAUAAUUCUACAGAGGACACAUGUCAGAAAGUUGCAGUUUUUUAACAACUCUGGUCCUCACUGCAUAGUUGUUCUUAAAGCCUGCUUUGUUGUGUGGCACACAUAGCAUACAGUUUUUCCUUUUGCACUCGCAGUAUGCUACUACAUUUUUUUUCAUACUUGAAAAUUGUUCACAGAGCAAAAAAUUACAAAACUAUGCUGUGAUUGUAUUUGGAAGGAAAUCGUUUCCUAAUUCAAUACACAUGUUCUGUUUGCUGCAUCAUAGCAAGGUACUGUAAUGUUUGUACUGCUUUGUUGCUGCUAAAUAAAAUAAAUGAAAUGUA